CUCAAAUUUGAAAGCUGGCCCCUUCGGGGUCCGCGUUGUAAUUUGUAGAGGAUGAUUCGGCGAGGGCUCCCGUCUAAGUCCCUUGGAACAGGGCGUCAUAGAGGGUGAGAAUCCCGUAUGUGAUGGGCUGCCUUAGCCAUGUGAAUCUCCUUCGACGAGUCGAGUUGUUUGGGAAUGCAGCUCUAAAUGGGAGGUAAAUUUCUUCUAAAGCUAAAUACCGGCCAGAGACCGAUAGCGCACAAGUAGAGUGAUCGAAAGAUGAAAAGCACUUUGGAAAGAGAGUUAAAAAGUACGUGAAAUUGUUGAAAGGGAAGCGCUUGCAGCCAGACUUGUCCGCAGUUGCUCAGCUUGUCUCCUGACAGGCGUACUCUUCUGCGGCCAGGCCAGCAUCAGUUCGGGCGGUCGGAUAAAGACCUAGGGAAUGUAGCUCCUCUCGGGGAGUGUUAUAGCCCUGGGUGCAAUGCGGCCAGCCUGGACUGAGGAUCUCGCUUCGGCUAGGAUGCUGGCGUAAUGGCUGUAAGCGGCCCGUCUUGAAACACGGACCAAGGAGUCUAACAUCUAUGCGAGUGUUUGGGUGUCAAACCCAUGCGCGUAAUGAAAGUGAACGGAGGUGGGAACCCUCACGGGUGCACCAUCGACCGAUCCUGAUGUCUUCGGAUGGAUUUGAGUAAGAGCAUAGCUGUUGGGACCCGAAAGAUGGUGAACUAUGCCUGAAUAGGGUGAAGCCAGAGGAAACUCUGGUGGAGG
rnacentral:rRNA from 1 species